rnacentral:rRNA from 1 species
CCUACGGGCGGCAGCAGUCGAGAAUCAUUCACAAUGGGGGAAACCCUGAUGGUGCGACGCCGCGUGGGGGAAUGAAGGUCUUCGGAUUGUAAACCCCUGUCAUGUGGGAGCAAAUUAAAAAGAUAGUACCACAAGAGGAAUAGACGGCUAACUCUGUGCCAGCAGCCGCGGUAAUACAGAGGUCUCAAGCGUUGUUCGGAAUCACUGGGCGUAAAGGGUGCGUAGGCUGUGUUGUAAGUCGUGGGUGAAAGGCACGGGCUCAACCCGCGGGCGGCAGAUGAUACUGGGAGACUAGAGUAAUUGAGGGGGAACCGGAAUGCUCGGUGUAGCAGUGAAAUGCGUAGAUAUCGCGAGGAACACGCGUGGCGAAGGCGGGUUCCUGGACAUUAACUGACGCUGAGGCACGAAGGCCAGGGGAGCGAAAGGGAUUAGAUACCCGAGUAGUC